CGCAUCUGUGCAUGCAGCAUAUCAAUAAGCGGAGGAAAAGAAACUAACAAGGAUUCCCCUAGUAACGGCGAGUGAAGCGGGAAGAGCUCAAAUUUGAAAUCUUAAAGGGUUUCCCUUUACGAAUUGUAGUUCAAAGAAGUGUUUUCUGUUGAGGUUUUGGUAAAAGUUCUUUGGAAUAGGACAUCAUAGAGGGUGAGAAUCCCGUAUUUGACCUUUACUUUCAACUUUGUGAUACACUUUCAAAGAGUCGGAUUGUUUGGGAAUGCAGUCCAAAAUGGGUGGUAAAUUUCAUCUAAAGCUAAAUAUUGGCGAGAGACCGAUAGCGAACAAGUACCGUGAGGGAAAGAUGAAAAGAACUUUGAAAAGAGAGUUAAACAGUACGUGAAAUUGUCAAAAGGGAAGCGUUUGACACCAGUGUUGUUUUUCUGAAAAUCAAUUAAAGAACUGUUUAUGCUAAGCUGUUUAGACUUUAUCAGCUAUACUGUUUAGUUUUGAGCUUUUCUUUAAUGCACUUUUCAGUUAACAAGUCAACAUCAAUUUCUUUUGCUGUAAAAAAGCUUGAGGAAGGUGGCUUGAGAUUCGUCUUAAGUGUUUAUAGCCUCUUGCCUAUGCAGUCGGAGAGAUUGAGGUCUGCAGCGUAGAUCCUUCGGGGCUAAAUGCAUUUGUGCUAAGUUAUAGCAUUUUAUAGACAACUUGUUGACUAUGAUUUGUCUUGUAGCUUACUCGCUUAUGUUAUUUUACCUACUGCUUAGGAUGUUGACGAGACUGUCGAUCUC
rnacentral:rRNA from 1 species